UUGAACUCAGCUCUGCCUGCCUCUGCCUCCCUAGUGCUGGGACUACACACAUGUGCUUUCCUCUUAGGUUCCAGGUGAGACUAGGAAGGCCUGUUAAGGUGUCAAGGCUCACAUGGUCAGUAUAGCUUCUCUCUUGAGUUCCCAGGACAGGGGGUGCAGGGAUGAGGUGGGGUGCCACUGAGUUUCUUCAGGAAAGCCUUGGUGUUUCCUAUGAGCUGUCCACAACCAGGAAGAUCUACACCAAAUGACACAUCCAGUUGUCUAGUUGACAAUGUAUGACAAACUCAGUUGUUUUGAGUCUUACCUGGUCAUCAUCAGUAAUUAUAGAAUUCUGUGGGAAAACAGAAGUGGGGUGUACUCCCAAGAGAUGUGCCUCAGCAGGGGUUAGUAGCCUGUAUUUUUUUUCUCAUCUCCCACCCAGGAUUAGACCAAGUGGUGACCAAUCCAUGGGCUGAAGGGGGCUUUGGGGCCUGGAGCAUUGGAGAGGCCAGUGCUUCACACUAAAAUACGUGUGGUCUGAAUGUAUUCUCUAUCCCCCAGUCUGCAGAAUGAGACAGAAAGAGCUGUGAUAUUUCUGACAUGCUGGCAAUGUUUUAUUAGUGCACAAGGUGUCACGUGCUAGAAAUGGGGUCAGGAGCUACUAAAUUGGGAUUAAAGGCAUUUGCUGCCACUACCUGGUCCAACUUAGGUUGUGUGUGUGUGUGUAUGCGCGUGUGUUUGGAGAUGGUCGAUGUAGCUGAGGCUGGCCUUUGUCAUGUGAUUCUCUUGUUGACACCCUCCGGAUUGCUGGGGCCACAGGCCUGCACCACCAUGCUUGGCUUCUUUGCUCCCUAUACAUGCAAGCAGAUACGCCUUCUGUACAGCUUAACACAGUUCUCUAGACUGUGUAUUUUGUUCUCUUUACAUAGGAGCCACAGGGACUCUAGAACUGGGAUGGCCAUUUUCUUCAUACACUCCCCACUGUGCGCUGAAGGACUCUUCCCCAGUGUUCUCAUGAGUUGUGCAGCUCAGUCCUUAGACCCCCAGUGUGCACUGGAGCAGCUGGGUCACUUGGAGGCUGUGCUCUUUCUUGAGCUCAGGUAGACAUACCCUCCCUCAGAAAGCCCUUUGCUUCCUUGGGAAGGCCUUGCUACCCAACAUGUACCCAUGUGGAAACAUCCUAUUUUCAAACAUGGGGUUAGGUACAAGCGAUGAACAGGAAGCCAUCAGGUUAAUCGCUAACCAUUAAAGCCCAGACCCUUAAAUCUAAUUCUUCAUGUGGUGGUGACCCCCAACCAUAGAUUGAUUUUUAUCCAUACUUCAUAACUGUACUUUUGCUACUGUUAUGAAUAUUACUGGAAAUAUCUGAUAUGAAGGAUGGUCUUAAGUGACCCCUGAAGGGGUCACAACCCACAGGUUGUGUGGGAAGCCACAUAGGCCAUUACAAGGUGGCGCUGGCUACCGCUGGCCACCACACGUAAGUCUGGGUAAACAACCAAUGUGUACAUAUGCAGUAAAGUUUUUCACCAAGUCACUGCCUGGCCCCGGGCAUAAUAAUGAGGCUCUGCAAGGUACUGAGAGAGAAUAACCAAUCAGAUGAGGAACAUGCAAAUGAGGUAGAAUGCAUAACCAAUCCGGGUGUGAGCCAUGCCUCUCCUAGGCCUAUAUAAGCAGCACCAGUUCUGGGCUCAGAGUCUUCUUGCCUACGCAGUCAAUGCUCUCCCAAUAAACAGACAAUCCUUGUUGCAGAAGGAUCCUGUUGUGGUGUCUGCUUUGCUGGCGAGUCAGGCGCUCACAAGGUUGAGAACCCCUGAUGUAGAUUUGGAGGUGGGAUUCAGAACGAUGGGCAGUUGACUGGGUUGAAAGCCAUGUAAAGCUGGAGUAUAUGAUUAGAAGGUGUGAGGGCCUGAUUCAAGCAGCAAGAAAAAAUAAGGGGGAAAAAAAAUGAAAGAAACAAAAAAAGGGGGGGGGGAUUGGAGCUGGUUCAGUGGUUAGAGCACUUGCUGUUCUAGAAAACCCAAAUUCAAUUCCUAGCACUCACAACCAUCUGUUAACUCCAGUUCCAGGGGCUCUGAUACCAUCUUCUGGUUUCCAUGGGUACUGACUGCUACACAAGUGGCACAUACAUACAUGCCAGCAAAGUCCCCAAACACAAAAUAAAUUACAAAAAAAAAAAAAGAAAGAAAGAAAAAAAGAAAAAAGGUUGGACUCUGCUAAGCCAAAGCAAAGUAUAUGCAGUUUGCCAGAACACAGGUUAUGUGUUGUCAAGAGACCAAUCUGCAGAGAGCAGAGUAUCUACAGAAACACGAAACAGCAAAGACCACACGGCCAGAGAGAGGGUGCCCAGUCCCCAGAGCUGUGACUGAUCUUGUUUGUUUUAAAUGAGACAGGGUCCCACUCUGUCGCUCUGGCUAUCUUAGAACCUGUUUUGUAGAUCAGGCUCAUCUCCAACUCAGAGAUCCGUCUGCCUCUAUUCCUGCUUCCUAAGUGCUGGGAUCAAAGGGUGUGUGCCGCUACACCCAUCUGUGAUUCAUAUUUUUUAGACAACCUGAAUUCUUUUUCUUUCUCUCCCCUCACCCUGUAAGAACUAACUGAAAGAGCCUUGAGGAGGACAGGACCAAGAAACCACUGUGUGGCCGAGGCAAACAUUUGGGGCACAGUGAAAUGGCAGAAGCAGGUGGCUUUACAGGAGGGGCAAAUGAUGCUAAAGUCACACGAGGAACAGUUAUUCCCCAGAGCUCACGUGCCUGUCCGGUUUCUGCCUCCUGAUCUCAGUGGGAUGCAGAUAGGUGAGUUUUAGCGCAGGGCCUCUGCCGUGUGCAGUCUUUUGAUGGGACCACAGAGCAAAGCCUUCUUCAGACCACUUUUGAACCAGUUGUAAAACCAGGAGGACAUUAGAAAUUAGUUUCCCAACCUCCCCGAGGUCGUUUGAAUAAGAAUGGCUCCUCUAGGUGCAUAUAUUUGAGUGGUCACCAGAGAGUGAAAAUGAUAAAGAGGUGUGUCCUUGUUGCAGGAAGUUUGAUACUCCAGGUGGACUCUAAGGUUUCCAAAGCUCACACUAGGCCCAGUUCUCCCGCCCCUCUCACCUGGCCUGAAGAUCGGGAUGUAGCCCUCUAUGACUGCUCCAGUGAGAUAGGUGCUGCCAGGCUUCCGAUGUAACGGACCAAGCUUCUUAAACUGUAAGCAAGCCCCCAACUACAUGUAUUCUUUUGUAAGAGUUGCCUUGAUUAUGGCGUCUCUUUCCAGCAAUAGAACAGAGACUAAGCACAAAGGUGACCUUUCACCAAGCCUCCGCCCAACCACUCCCUCAAACCAGAGCCUCUCCAUCUUCUGUGAUUGGCAACACGGACACCUUAACCAUUUGAUACAGAUGAAGGACUGCUUGAAGCAUGUGAGACAUCAACUGUAAUUUCUUGGCUUCUUUACUGGUGUACCUUGAUCAACACAUACACUUUCUCUCAGGAGGACUCAACUGAAAACAACCGAAAAGAACCAUUUGAACCACUAUUGAAACUGAUCCCGUGGGCAGGGGACGUAGACCAGUGGCAGAAUGCACUCAGCACUUGUGAAGCCCUGGAUUCAGUUCGGAGUACUCCGGUCUGUAGUUUGGCAGCAGUUACCUGUAGUCUUGGUCACUCAGGAGGCUAAGGCACAAGUUUGGCAUGAGCCUGGGUACUUAGGGCUGCCUAGGCAAUACAGGAAGACUUUGUCUCAAACAGCAAACAGAAGUACCCUGGUUUUCUUUGCUGUCUGUGCCCAGUCGACUACCCGGCAUCCAUUUGUAACGCAAGCAUGUGCAACUGGAACUCACACGUGGGAGUGUUUCAUUUCAACUUAUUAAGCUUGCAAGCCAAGGCUUGCUCGGCUUUCUGACGGAUCUGUGUAGGUGGGUAACAGAAUGAGCUCAGAGCUGGCGGUUUGAUGCUGUUAAGGUUCCACCUGCCAACGCUGUCUGAGAAUACUGAAGCUUUCCGCAUGAGCAGGAUAGAAAACCUAGUAUGUGUACCAAGUGUGUGUCUGCUGAUCAGAAGGCACUACAUCAGAUCCUCUGGAGUGAUGGAUAGUCAUGAAUCACUAUAAUCAGUGUGGAUCUUAAGAGCAGUGUUUACUUUUUGAAGUUCAUGCCACGGCGAAGUCUCUUUGGAGGUCCACACCUGAGCUGAGUGCCCACUAAUGUCCCAGCCGUGUCCUGGGCAUGGCAUGGCGCCACUGUCUAGAAGAGGAUGUCUACUAGCAGACCAUCAAAGGAUCCAUACGGUAGCCUGCUGCUGUUCCAUCAAACCCACCCUGAGCCCACCUCUUUCCUCUUUCCAUCCAGUUAACAAAGGCUCCUUAGGAGUACACCCACCAGUGCUGUGGGUACAUCCUAAGUACCAGUACAUCCCUUUCCUGUUGUUGUGAACCUGACUCUGUGUUCCCUCCCCAGGGCUGUGCUGCCUCUGGGAAGUCCAGCUGUUCCAGGAUAUUUAUGGGAAGUCAAGUUAGGCUUUGGAAUAUUCUCACUGACGAGAUGAAAGGCAAGCUAACAGGCUGUGGCCGAUACAGAGAAACAGAAAGGGUAACCCAGAGGUAAGACCAUCGAGAGACCAGUCCAGUGUAACUUCCGACUGGAUGUUCUAUUAAUGAGAUCAGGAUGUUACUGGCAUCUAUAAAACAAACUCCGAGCAGAGGAGGCAUCCUCAUGUUUCAGGGAAGCAUCUCAGAACAAAAUGGCAAGUUCUGUCGGAAGGUACAUACUGUAUGAUUUACCAAGCACGUGGCAGGUACCCAGCACACUUGGCUCUGCAGUUUUCACAGCAUCCCACGGGCUUCUGGACACUAGGCUUCCAGGCAUCAAGAAGUGGAGGGGAGCGAGGUUGGAGUGGAUAUGAUCAAUGAAUACAUGCAUGAAAUUGUCAAACAAUAAAUAAAAGAUUUAAAAAAGGAGGCGACAAGGGGCAGACCACAUUUAGCUCCUACCCCAGAAUGAGGCCAGUAAGGCACUAAGGGUGGGUGGUGACUAGGACUGCCUUCCUUAGGCAGACCUGUAGCUUAUAGUGGGAGGACGAAGACAACAUUUUCCUUACAAGAGCAAAUCACAUGGCAAGAUCCUUCUCUUAAUGAAAAACUAUUUCCUUGCUUUUAGUACUCUGCGUUUUCUUACAUUUCUGGCAGCUGAACCGCCUGGCUGCAGGCAUCCUCUCUCUAAGCAUCCUCUCUGUGUGCUUACUUUGUCGGAGCAUCUCUGCUUUACAGGAGCAACUUUGGACUGCGUUAACACAUGACACUGUCCUGAAGAAACUCAUCAUGUACAUGGACUGUUUCCAUCCACAGUCAACUGAGGACGAGAAGAGCGUCCUGGUGUGCCGGGAGACAGCGCCAGCCCUUGCUAUCUCAGCGCACCACCUGACAGCCCCGAUUUAGUUGGCAAUAGAAUCUGAUAGCAAAGGGUCAGCCCCUGCCCGUACAGUGGGAAGUAAAAUUCUCAGGCUAAAGCCAGUCUCCAAGGAGCUUAUAUCUGGUUAGAGAGAUACAAUUUGAAGUUGGAAUGUUACUUAAUUUUCAAUUGUUAUUUUAAGGGAUUUUUUUAAAAAAAUUAUUUU